GGUAAAAUGGCUGAGUAGAGCAUUAGACUGUAAAUCUAAAGACAGAGGUUUGGGAUUCCUCUUUUUACCA
rnacentral:tRNA from 1 species